rnacentral:rRNA from 1 species
UACGUAGGUGGCAAGCGUUGUCCGGAUUUAUUGGGUUUAAAGGGUGCGUAGGCGGCCUUGUAAGUCAGUGCUGAAAUAUCCCGGCUUAACCGGGAGGGUGGCAUUGAUACUGCAGGGCUUGAGUAAAGUUGAGGUUGGCGGAAUUGACGGUGUAGCGGUGAAAUGCUUAGAUAUCGUCAAGAACACCGAUAGUGAAGACAGCUAACUAAGCUUUAACUGACGCUGAGGCACGAAAGUGUGGGGAUCAAAUAGG